rnacentral:rRNA from 1 species
CCUACGGGGGGCUGCAGUGGGGAAUAUUGGACAAUGGGCGAAAGCCUGAUCCAGCCAUGCCGCGUGUGUGAAGAAGGCCUUCGGGUUGUAAAGCACUUUCAGUGGGGAAGAAAGCCUUGGGGCUAAUACCCUCGAGGAAGGACAUCACCCACAGAAGAAGCACCGGCUAACUCCGUGCCAGCAGCCGCGGUAAUACGGAGGGUGCGAGCGUUAAUCGGAAUUACUGGGCGUAAAGCGCGCGUAGGCGGUCUGAUAAGCCGGUUGUGAAAGCCCCGGGCUCAACCUGGGAACGGCAUCCGGAACUGUCAGGCUAGAGUGCAGGAGAGGAAGGUAGAAUUCCCGGUGUAGCAGUGAAAUGCGUAGAGAUCGGGAGGAAUACCAGUGGCGAAGGCGGCCUUCUGGACUGACACUGACGCUGAGGUGCGAAAGCGUGGGUAGCAAACAGGAUUAGAUACCCCAGUAGUC